rnacentral:sRNA from 12 species
UGACCACUUUCUAAACGGUACUAUAACCUUAGAAAGUCAAGGCAUGCGGACAGCCGGGUCAAAUGCCGA